GGGGGUGAACUGGUUUCGACGGAAAGAGUUGAGUGAAAGGAGCAUGCAGGGGUUGGUUACAGCGCCUCUUCAAAACGUUGUGGCAGCCAGAAGUGGCAAAAAUACUAACUUAGCUCUCGCUGCCUAAUUAAGCACAGAGCCAGUGACUAGGGUGUGGCAGCACGUGCAUCUUUGUUCGCUGUUAAUUUACGUGCGGGUUAUUUCUAGCUUCUGUUCGUAGUUAGUUUAACCUAUUAAUCGAGCUGGCUUAUGCAGUAGGGUGUCUUUCCUCGGCUGUUAAGUAAGAUUCAAAGAAAGAAGAAGCAUGUGGCCGCCAAUUGCGAUGCCUGUCCGGACCCGGGUUCGAUCCCCGGCACCUCCACCA
rnacentral:tmRNA from 1 species